rnacentral:rRNA from 1 species
AGCUUGAAAUUUAUAAGCCACCUAGUGGAUGGCUUGGCUCUGGUAGCGAUGAAGGCCGUGGCAAGCUGCGAAAAGCUUGGGGUAGGCGCAUGUCAGCCAUUGAACCCAAGAUUGCCGAAUUAUACGCCAUGAAUAGUGGCGUACGCAUACGCGGGGAAUUGAAAUAUCUUAGUACCCGCAGGA